rnacentral:tRNA from 1 species
GGAUGUGGCUCAGUGGUAGAAUACUUGUCUAGCAUGCAGGAGGCCCUGGAUUUGAUCCCAAGUACCG